AUAGUGAUAUUAUAAGUUUAAUAUGCUUUCUUUCCACGUAAGAGAUCUCUAUUAAAGAGUCAUUAUA
rnacentral:tRNA from 1 species